GGGGAUGUAGCUCAGUGGUAGAGCUUUUGUCUAGCAAGCACAAGGCCCUGGGUUCAGUCCCCAGCUCUG
rnacentral:tRNA from 1 species